rnacentral:rRNA from 1 species
GACGAACGCUGGCGGCGUGCUUAACACAUGCAAGUCGAACGGAAAGGCCCUGCUUGCAGGGUACUCGAGUGGCGAACGGGUGAGUAACACGUGGGUGAUCUGCCCUGCACUUCGGGAUAAGCCUGGGAAACUGGGUCUAAUACCGGAUAUGACCUUCCAUGUAGUGUGGGGGGUGGAAAGAUUUAUCGGUGUGGGAUGAGCCCGCGGCCUAUCAGCUUGUUGGUGGGGUAAUGGCCUACCAAGGCGUCGACGGGUAGCCGGCCUGAGAGGGUGGACGGCCACAUUGGGACUGAGAUACGGCCCAGACUCCUACGGGAGGCAGCAGUGGGGAAUAUUGCACAAUGGGCGGAAGCCUGAUGCAGCGACGCCGCGUGGGGGAUGACGGCCUUCGGGUUGUAAACCUCUUUCGACAGGGACGAAGCUUCGGUGACGGUACCUGUAUAAGAAGCACCGGCCAACUACGUG